GUCGACCGGCGAAUGGGUGAGUAACGCGUAUCCAACCUGCCCCUGUCCCGGGAAUAGCCCUUGGAAACGAGGAUUAACGCCCGAUUUGCGGCAUCAUCGCAUGAUGUAGCCGUGAAAUGCUUAAGGACGGGGAUGGGGCAUGCGUCUGAUUAGCCAGCUGGCGGGGUAACGGCCCACCAGGGCUUCGAUCAGUAGGGGUUCUGAGAGGAAGGUCCCCCACACUGGAACUGAGACACGGACCAGACUCCUACGGGAGGCAGCAGUGAGGAAUAUUGGUCAAUGGCCGAGAGGCUGAACCAGCCAAGUAGCGUGAGGGAUGAAGGCCCUAUGGGUUGUAAACCUCUUUUAUGCGGGGAUAAAGAGCGCCACGUGUGGCAUGUUGCAGGUACCGCAUGAAUAAGGACCGGCUAAUUCCGUGCCAGCAGCCGACGGUAAUACGGAAGGUCCGGGCGUUAUCCGGAUUUAUUGGGUUUAAAGGGAGCGCAGGCGGAGCGCCAAGUCAGCCGUCAAAUGGCUCAGCUCAACUGAGUCCUGCGGUUGAAACUGGCGCCCUUGGGUGCACAAGAGGCAGGCGGAACUCGUGGUGUAGCGGUGAAAUGCAUAGAUAUCACGAAGAACUCCGAUUGCGAAGGCAGCUUGCUGGGGUGUUACCGACGCUCAUGCCUCGAAGGUCGCGGGUAUCAAACAAGGAUUAGAUACCCUGGUAGUUCCGCGUCAGUAAACGAUGGAUGUCCCGCUGGUGCGGCCUGUUUUAUGGCUACGUCCGCCAAGCUGAAAUGCGUUUAAGCAUCCCACCUGGGGAGUACGCCGGCANACGGUGAAACUCAAAGGAAUUGACGGGGGCCCGCACAAGCGGAGGAACAUGUGGUUUAAUUCGAUGAUACGCGAGGAACCUUACCCGGGCUUGAAAGGCAGCGGACGGGAGUGCAGAGACGCCUUCUUUCUUCGGACCGUCUUCCUAGGUGCUGCAUGGUUGUCGUCAGCUCGUGCCGUGAGGUGUCGGCUUAAGUGCCAUAACGAGCGCAACCCUUUCCGCCGGUUGCCAUCGGGUAAUGCCGGGCACUCCGUCGGUACUGCCGCCGCAAGGCGUGAGGAAGGUGGGGACGACGUCAAAUCAGCACGGCCCUUACGUCCGGGGCCACACACGUGUUACAAUGGGGGGCACAGCGAGCUGGAUGCAGGCGACUGCAUUCGAAUCAAUAAAUCCCCUCCCAGUUCGGACUGGAGUCUGCAACCCGACUCCACGAAGCUGGAUUCGCUAGUAAUCGCGCAUCAGCCAUGGCGCGGUGGAUACGUUCCCGGGCCUUGUACACACCGCCCGUCAAGCCAUGAAAGCCGGGGGCGCCUGAAGUCCGCAGCC
rnacentral:rRNA from 1 species